CUAAUCUCUGGUCAGAAAACCUUGUGUGGAAGAAUGAACAUGAGUACAAAAUCAACAUUUCCGUGUAAUAUUUUUUCAAAAUUCAAACUAUAGGAAAUUCAAAACAAAAAAAUAGAGAAAUAAAAAAAUAUAGCAAAUUCAAGCAGAGGAAGAUUGAAAAUUGAGGAAGGUAGCUGGAGUUUGAUAUAAGCCUCUAAUCUGGGCUGGUAAUACUUAUUUGAACAUUGCGUGACUUUUUCAUGACCAAUAUGGCAUGGAGGGCAACAAAUCCACUAAGAUUUGGCUUGUUCAUUGUCUUUCUAAAUAUAUAAUGAACUUAUUUUUUUUGGGAGCCAUCAGUGAUCAAGUCUUCUAAAAGUCAGUGGUCAAGUUUCCCUAAAUGUUUUAAAUAUGAAAGCACUCAACAAAAUAGUUUUCUAACUAUAGUUAAUCAUGUUGCAGGUUUUUCUUCAAGUUAUGGAGUGCUUACUCAAUCGUUUUAGUCAGUCAGCAUUUAUCAAUUCUGUUCUGGAUACUACUUUUCUCUGUUAUUUUCAUCACUAUUGGCGAGAACUUUCUUAAACAUUUAAUAACAGACAGAUUCAUACA